UCAAGCUAAUAAGAGCGCAAGGCGGAUGCCUUGGUACUGAGAGCCGAUGAAAGACGCGACAAGCUGCGAAAAGCUUCGGGGAGGAGCAAAUAUCCAUUGAUCCGGAGAUAUCUGAAUGGGGAAACCUGCCUAGGAAAACCCUGGGCAUCCCGGCAUGAAUCCAUAGUGCCUGGAAGGGAACCCGGUGAACUGAAACAUCUAAGUAGCCGGAGGAAGAGAAAGAAAAAUCGAUUUCCUAAGUAGCGGCGAGCGAACGGGAAGGAGCCCAAACCGGGGCGCAUGCGCCCCGGGGUUACGGACUGCCAAAGGCGAGUAAUCGCCUGGUAUUUCUGCGGAUAGCCGAACGGUUUUGGGAAAGCCGUCCAGAGAGGGUGAAAGACCCGUAGGCGAAAUCCAAGGGAAGCCGGCAGGAUCCAGAGUACCGCGGGACACGAGAAACCCUGCGGGAAGUCGGGGGGACCACCCCCCAAGGCUAAACACUCCUCAGUGACCGAUAGAGCAUAGUACUGUGAAGGAAAGGUGAAAAGAACCCCGGGAGGGGAGUGAAAGAGAACCUGAAACCUUGCGCUUACAAACUGCGGAACGCCUAUUGACAGGCGGACCGCGUACUUUUUGUAGAACGGUCCGGCGAGUUGCGUUUGCUGGCAAGGUUAAGCACCUAAGGUGCGGAGCCGAAGGGAAACCGAGUCUUAACAGGGCGCAGGGUGAGGCAAGCUCACCCACGAGUCAGUAAGAGCAGACCCGAAACCGGGUGACCUACCCAUGUCCAGGCUGAAGCUGCCGUAAAAGGCAAUGGAGGGCCGAACACACGUCCGUUGAAAAGGGCGGUGAUGAGGUGUGGGUAGGGGAGAAAUUCCAAUCGAACCCGGAGAUAGCUGGUUCUCCUCGAAAUAGCUUUAGGGCUAGCCCCGUUUAAGAGUCUUGCGGAGGUAGAGCACUGAAUUUCCUAGGGGGCGUCAAAGCCUACCGAAGAAUAUCAAACUCCGAAUGCCGUUAAGAUGAUGGACGGGAGUCAGACUGCACGAGAUAAGUUGGGCAGUCAAAAGGGAAAGAGCCCAGACCACCGGCUAAGGCCCCCAAGUGCGCGUUAAGUGGAAAAGGAUGUGGGAUUUCAAAGACAGCUAGGACGUUGGCUUAGAAGCAGCCACGCGUUCAAAGAGUGCGUAAUAGCUCACUAGUCGAGAGGUCCCGCGCCGAAAAUGUCCGGGGCUGAAACGCGCCGCCGAAGCCGUGGAACAGGGGAAGCCCCCCUGUUGGUAGAGGAGCGUUCCCAGCGCGGCGAAGCGUCACCGUAAGGAGGCGUGGAGAGCUGGGAAGAGAGAAUGCCGGAAUGAGUAGCGAGAUGGGGGUGGGAAUCCCCCAGGCCGAAUAUCCAAGGAUUCCAGGGUAAAGCUGAUCUGCCCUGGGUGAGUCGGGGCCUAAGGGGAGGCCGGAAGGCGUACCCGAUGGACAACAGGUGGAGAUUCCUGUACCACGUAUUACCAGAACUGCGGGGACGCGUAGUCCGAAGCGCAAGCCGGGGACGGAAUGCCCGGCGCAAGCACGCAAGGGGGGCGGAAGGCAAACCCUCCGCCGGAAGCCAAGCGUGUGACGCGGAGCGAACUCAAGUAGCGAAGAGCGCAGAGGAUACGCCAAGAAAAGCCGCUAUAGCGUAAUACGUGCCCGUACCGUAAACCGACACAGGUGGAUGGGGAGAGAAUCCCAAGGCCGGCGGAAGAAGCAUUGUCAAGGAACUCGGCAAAAUAACCCCGUAACUUCGGGAGAAGGGGUGCCAUGGCAACAUGGCCGCAGAGAAUUGGCCCAAGCAACUGUUUAGCAAAAACACAGGUCUAUGCGAAACCGGAAGGUGAAGUAUAUGGGCUGACGCCUGCCCGGUGCUGGAAGGUUAAGGGGAGGGGUUAGCGCAAGCGAAGCCCUGAACUUAAGCCCCAGUAAACGGCGGCCGUAACUAUAACGGUCCUAAGGUAGCGAAAUUCCUUGUCGGGUAAGUUCCGACCCGCACGAAAGGCGUAAUGAUUU
rnacentral:rRNA from 1 species